GGCCAAGUUUUUAAGGGCGCACGGUGGAUGCCUUGGCACCAGGAACCGAUGAAGGACGUGGGAGGCCACGAUAGGCCCCGGGGAGCUGUCAACCGAGCUUUGAUCCGGGGGUGUCCGAAUGGGGAAACCCGGCAGUCGUCAUGGGCUGUCACCCGCUGCUGAACACAUAGGCAGUGUGGAGGGAACGCGGGGAAGUGAAACAUCUCAGUACCCGCAGGAAGAGAAAACAACCGUGAUUCCGGGAGUAGUGGCGAGCGAAACUGGAUGAGGCCAAACCAGUCACGUGUGAUACCCGGCAGGGGUUGCGUGGUUGGGGUUGUGGGAUCUCUCUUUGCAGUCUGCCGGCUGUGAGGCGAGUCAGAAACCGUUGAUGUAGGCGAAGGACAUGCGAAAGGUCCGGCGUAGAGGGUAAGACCCCCGUAGCUGAAACAUUAGCGGCUCGUUUGAGAGACACCCAAGUAGCACGGGGCCCGAGAAAUCCCGUGUGAAUCUGGCGGGACCACCCGUUAAGCCUAAAUAUUCCCUGGUGACCGAUAGCGGAUAGUACCGUGAGGGAAUGGUGAAAAGUACCGCGGGAGCGGAGUGAAAUAGUACCUGAAACCGUGUGCCUACAAGCCGUGGGAGCGUCGCUGGUGAGUUUACUCAUCAGUCGUGACUGCGUGCCUUUUGAAGAAUGAGCCUGCGAGUUUGCGGUAUGUUGCGAGGUUAACCCGUGUGGGGAAGCCGUAGCGAAAGCGAGUCCGAAUAGGGCGUGGAGUAGCAUGCUCAAGACCCGAAGCGGAGUGAUCUAGCCAUGGGCAGGUUGAAGCGGAGGUAAGACUUCGUGGAGGACCGAACCCACCAGGGUUGAAAACCUGGGGGAUGACCUGUGGUUAGGGGUGAAAGGCCAAUCAAACUCCGUGAUAGCUGGUUCUCCCCGAAAUGCAUUUAGGUGCAGCGUCGUGUGUUUCUUGCCGGAGGUAGAGCACUGGAUAGGCGAUGGGCCCUACCGGGUUACUGACCUUAGCCAAACUCCGAAUGCCGGUAAGUGAGAGCGCGGCAGUGAGACUGUGGGGGAUAAGCUCCAUGGUCGAGAGGGAAACAGCCCAGAGCAUCGACUAAGGCCCCUAAGCGUGUGCUAAGUGGGAAAGGAUGUGGAGUCGCAGAGACAACCAGGAGGUUGGCUUAGAAGCAGCCACCCUUGAAAGAGUGCGUAAUAGCUCACUGGUCAAGUGAUUCCGCGCCGACAAUGUAGCGGGGCUCAAGUACACCGCCGAAGUCGUGUCAUUGCAGCAUGAGGGCUAACGCCUGUUGUGAUGGGUAGGGGAGCGUCGUGUGCCGGGUGAAGCAGCCGUGGAAACGAGUUGUGGACGGUUCACGAGUGAGAAUGCAGGCAUGAGUAGCGAUACAAGAGUGGGAAACUCUUGCGCCGAUUGACUAAGGGUUCCUGGGUCAAGCUGAUCUGCCCAGGGUAAGUCGGGACCUAAGGCGAGGCCGACAGGCGUAGUCGAUGGACAACCGGUUGAUAUUCCGGUACCCGCUUUGAAGCGCCCAAUACUGAAUCAGGCGAUGCUAAGUCCGUGAAGCCGCCCUGGAGCCUUCGGGUGAAGGGGAGUGGUGGAGCCGACGGACCAGACUUGUAGUAGGUAAGCGAUGGGGUGACGCAGGAAGGUAGUCCAGCCCGGGCGGUGGUUGUCCCGGGGUAAGGGUGUAGGCCGUGUGGUAGGUAAAUCCGUCGCACGUUAAGGCUGAGACCUGAUGCCGAGCCGAUUGUGGUGAAGUGGAUGAUCCUAUGCUGUCGAGAAAAGCCUCUAGUGAGUUUCAAGGCGGCCCGUACCCUAAACCGACUCAGGUGGUCAGGUAGAGAAUACCGAGGCGUUCGGGUGAACUAUGGUUAAGGAACUCGGCAAAAUGCCCCCGUAACUUCGGGAGAAGGGGGGCCAUUUCUGGUGAGGGAACUUGCUUCCUGAGCUGGGGGUGGCCGCAGAGACCAGCGAGAAGCGACUGUUUACUAAAAACACAGGUCCGUGCGAAGCCGUAAGGCGAUGUAUACGGACUGACGCCUGCCCGGUGCUGGAACGUUAAGGGGACCGGUUAGCUUGGAUUCGUUCAGGCGAAGCUGAGAACUUAAGCGCCAGUAAACGGCGGUGGUAACUAUAACCAUCCUAAGGUAGCGAAAUUCCUUGUCGGGUAAGUUCCGACCUGCACGAAUGGCGUAACGACUUCUCGACUGUCUCAACCAUAGGCCCGGUGAAAUUGCAUUACGAGUAAAGAUGCUCGUUUCGCGCAGCAGGACGGAAAGACCCCGGGACCUUUACUAUAGCUUGAUAUUGGUGUUCGGUUCGGCUUGUGUAGGAUAGGUGGGAGACUGUGAAGCGCCAACGCCAGUUGGUGUGGAGUCGUUGUUGAAAUACCACUCUGGUCGUGCUGGAUGUCUAACCUGGGUCCGUGAUCCGGAUCAGGGACAGUGUCUGGUGGGUAGUUUAACUGGGGCGGUUGCCUCCUAAAGAGUAACGGAGGCGCCCAAAGGUUCCCUCAGCCUGGUUGGUAAUCAGGUGUUGAGUGUAAGUGCACAAGGGAGCUUGACUGUGAGACUGACGGGUCGAGCAGGUACGAAAGUAGGGACUAGUGAUCCGGCGGUGGCUUGUGGAAGCGCCGUCGCUCAACGGAUAAAAGGUACCCCGGGGAUAACAGGCUGAUCUUCCCCAAGAGUCCAUAUCGACGGGAUGGUUUGGCACCUCGAUGUCGGCUCGUCGCAUCCUGGGGCUGGAGUCGGUCCCAAGGGUUGGGCUGUUCGCCCAUUAAAGCGGUACGCGAGCUGGGUUUAGAACGUCGUGAGACAGUUCGGUCCCUAUCCGCUGUGCGCGUAGGAGUCUUGAGAAGGGCUGUCCCUAGUACGAGAGGACCGGGACGGACGAACCUCUGGUGUGCCAGUUGUUCUGCCAAGGGCAUGGCUGGUUGGCUACGUUCGGAAAGGAUAACCGCUGAAAGCAUCUAAGCGGGAAGCCUGCUUCGAGAUGAGGGCUCCCUCCUCCUUGAGAGGGUAAGGCUCCCAGUAGACGACUGGGUUGAUAGGCCAGAUAUGGAAGCACUGUAAGGUGUGGAGUUGACUGGUACUAAUAGGCCGAGGGCUUGUCCUC
rnacentral:rRNA from 1 species